GCCGAAGUAGCUCAGUGGUAGAGCGGCGGUAUCGUAAACCGUAGGUCGUGGGUUCGAUUCCCACCUUCGGCU
rnacentral:tRNA from 1 species